UUUUAAACCGAAUUAUAAGCACAACAUUUGAUUACAUUUGCCGAUGACUAUAUAAGACCUCUUUUAAUAGAUUAUAGAUCAUUCUCUAGUUCAGCAACGUGCUGAUUUAGACAGCGUGCUUUUCGAGUCUGUUGAAACUUUGCUAAAAGUGAUCCCAAAUUGAUAACAGCUGAAACAGAAGCACAGAAUUUGAUUACACUUAUUGUACGCUUCCAGAAUCGCGUAUAGAGUACUCCAAAUCUGUUGUAAAGUAUCAUGUUCGUUCUAGUUUGCUCUGCACUGAGCUCGUUUCUCAAUGAAGCAGAACGAAAUUUGCUUUGGCUCAGUUUGUGCGUGGCAAAUUAAUUGAGCAAAAGUUCACUAAAGUUUACAUAACUGCAAUAGAAACCGCUAUUACAACAGCAACAGCAACAACUUGUUAAACCAGUGAAAAGCAGCUGCAGCACUCAGCACUUUUCAUCAUUUUUAUGGCCAACAUUGCAGCUUCUUGGCAACAUGUUGACAACAACGUCGCGCCCUCAAAGCCAAACAAAAGUCUCUACGGGCAACGCCAAAGUUGACCAAUGCCCGAGUCUAGUCACAGCAGCAACAACAACAGCAACAACAACACAACAACAACAACAACAACAACAAUCACAUACAAUGAUAUCCAUUGACGCUGCUCUUAGGGCCCAACAAAGUCCAGCUAAGAGCAGCAGGAAGAGGGAAGCAGGGAAGCAGGGAUGGGGAUAGAACGGAAUCGUUGGUGAA